rnacentral:lncRNA from 1 species
UGAGUUCAGCCUAUCAUUUGAGAUCCGAGUAUGAUUGAGGAAAUAUCCUGAAAUAGUCCAUGAUUUGAAGAAAUGGAUAGAUGGCUAGAAUAAUAUGCUAGAUGGUAGUCAAGUUACUAACUGCAGAAUUGACUUGAUAAAAUUCUCAUCGUGUCUCCUGAUUUAGGAGAAAAAUUGGGUCUGAUGAAUGGGUAAAAUUCCCAGGUGAAAAGAAUUUGGUCGUAAGAUUUGGCAGCACCCUGAGGUUUGCCAUAUCUGAUGGCCUGGCUUUAGUGGCAGCACCUAGUGAAGGCCCAGGUGUCCUUCUGACAACCUUUACCGCCUACUAUUUUGUCCUUACUUAUGUUGAAUCACUACGCACAGGCUGUUGAAUUCAGCUGUCUGUGGAAAAAUUAUACCAACCACAUGGUUAGACAGAAGGAAUACAAUAUAUUGCUUAAUUUGUGUCUGAAAGCUAAGCAACAUGGAAAAAAACCAAGCCUGCUCCGUCACUUCCAUGAGGACAAAUGAAGACAAUUCAAGGAGGACACUGACAUGGAUCUGCCAGCUUUCUAAGCCUUUCCCCAGAUUCAAGUCCAGUCACAUCAAGUUCCCUUAUUAAAGGGUCUGCCCACUCAAAAGGAGAAAGUGCAAAAGAUGCUCAGCAAGGGUACCAAACGCAGUCAGAUGAUACUUCCUGACAGCAUCCAAGAGCAAGCCUCACCACCACAUCUGUCAAUAAAA